GAUGAACGCUGGCGGCGUGCCUAAUACAUGCAAGUCGAGCGAAUGGAUUAAGAGCUUGCUCUUAUGAAGUUAGCGGCGGAUGGGUGAGUAACACGUGGGUAACCUGCCCAUAAGACUGGGAUAACUCCGGGAAACCGGGGCUAGUACCGGAUAACAUUUUGAACCGCAUGGCUCGAAAUUGAACGGCGGCUUCGGUUGUCACUUAUGGAUGGACCCGGGUCGCAUUAGCUAGUUGGGGAGGUAACGGCUCACCAAGGCAACGAUGCGUAGACGACCUGAGAGGGUGAUCGGCCACACUGGGACUGAGACACGGCCCAGACUCCUACGGGAGGCAGCAGUAGGGAAUCUUCCGCAAUGGACGAAAGUCUGACGGAGCAACGCCGCGUGAGUGAUGAAGGCUUUCGGGUCGUAAAACUCUGUUGUUAGGGAAGAACAAGUGCUAGUUGAAUAAGCUGGCACCUUGACGGUACCUAACCAGAAAGCCACGGCUAACUACGUGCCAGCCGCCGCGGUAA
rnacentral:rRNA from 1 species